CUCGAUUGAUUUAGAUAAUAUACGUUUUUUACCGAAAUAACAUGAUUUUAUGGUUGACUGUUUUAGCUUGUACCUUGACUUGUUAAGUAAAUUUUAGCAUAGACCAAUUUUACGUUGUGAUAAAUUAUUCGUUUGUUUUUAUAUCUGUUUGAAAGUUUGUUGUUUAUAGAUAGUUUUGUGGUUAGGAUAUCUCGAAACUUGUAAUACUAUUUUUUCUUAUACGACUUAGAAAGGGUUGAAACUACCCGUUUUUAGUAAACAUGUUAUAAUUUUUUAAAUAUGUAUGAGAUGUUUAUUGAUAAAUUUUCUUAGUAUUGAAUCUUUGGUUAAUUAUCAUGAUUGAAUAAGUAAUUUUAACUUAACUUAUAUGUCUCAUAAUUCACCUGUCUGUUUAUCAAAAACAUUUCUAUUUUUAAAUUUAAAUGGUAGUGCCUGCCCCCUGCCGAUCCAGGUAAAUGGCCGCAGUAUAUUGACUGUGCGAAGGUAGCAUAAUUAAUUGCCUUAUAAUUGAAGGCUCGUUUGAAUGGUUUGACAAGGUGAUACUUAAUAUGAGUUAUUUUUUUGAAUUUAUUACGUGAGUGCAGAAACUCGCUAGUUUAGUAAGACGGAAAGACCCCGGGAUCUUUGUUUUUUGUCUGGGGCGGAUUUUAUUAUUUCAUUAAUAGUUAGACCCUUCAUUGGUUCAUUGGUCUAAGUUACCCCGGGGAUAACAGUGUAAUAGUUUAUAAGAGAUCUUAUCGAAUUAAUUGUUUGCUACCUCGAUUUUGACUUAAGUUUUAUAUAUGGCGCAGUAGUUGUAUAAUUAGGUCUGUUCGACCUUUAAUAACUUCCAUGAGUUGAGUUAAGACCG
rnacentral:rRNA from 1 species